AUCCAGUUGACGAGUCCUAAACAGGAUGAAACGCGCCUCCUGAAU
rfam:Schistosoma margrebowiei strain Zambia genome assembly, scaffold: SMRZ_contig0000846